UGGGGAAUAUUGCACAAUGGAGGGAACUCUGAUGCAGCGACGCCGCGUGAGUGAUGAAGGAAUUCGUUUCGUAAAACUCUGUUCUAUGGGAAGAAAAGGACUGUACCAUAGGAGAAAGCUCCGGCUAAAUACGUGCCAGCAGCCGCGGUAAUACGUAUGGAGCGAGCGUUGUCCGGAAUUAUUGGGCGUAAAGGGUGCGCAGGCGGCUUUACAAGUUGGAUGUGAAAUAUUGUGGCUCAACCACAAACGUGCAUCCAAAACUGCAAAGCUUGAGUUAAGGAGAGGUAAGUGGAAUUCCUGGUGUAGCGGUGGAAUGCGUAGAUAUCAGGAGGAAUACCGGUGGCGAAGGCGACUUACUGGACUUAAACUGACGCUCAGGCACGAAAGCGGGGGGAGCAAACAGG
rnacentral:rRNA from 1 species